CCUACGGGAGGCAGCAGUGAGGAAUAUUGGUCAAUGGGCGCGAGCCUGAACCAGCCAAGUAGCGUGAAGGAUGACAGCCCUACGGGUUGUAAACUUCGUUUAUAAAGGAAUAAAGUGAGGCACGUGUGCCUUUUUGUAUGUACUUUAUGAAUAAGGAUCGGCUACCGCCGUGCCAGCAGCCGCGGUAAUACGGAGGAUCCGAGCGUUAUCCGGAUUUAUUGGGUUUAAAGGGAGCGUAGAGGGGUUGUUAAGUCAGUUGUGAAAGUUUGCGGCUCAACCGUAAAAUUGCCAUUGAUACUGGCAGUCUUGCGUACAGUUGAGGUCGGCGGCAUUCGUGGUGUAGCGG
rnacentral:rRNA from 1 species